GUGGGGAAUUUUGGACAAUGGGCGCAAGCCUGAUCCAGCAAUGCCGCGUGCAGGAAGAAGGCCUUCGGGUUGUAAACUGCUUUUGUACGGAACGAAACGGUCCUGGCUAAUACCCGGGGCUAAUGACGGUACCGUAAGAAUAAGCACCGGCUAACUACGUGCCAGCAGCCGCGGUAAUACGUAGGGUGCGAGCGUUAAUCGGAAUUACUGGGCGUAAAGCGUGCGCAGGCGGUGCUGUAAGACAGGCGUGAAAUCCCCGGGCUCAACCUGGGAAUUGCGCUUGUGACUGCAGUGCUGGAGUGCGUCAGAGGGGGAUGGAAUUCCGCGUGUAGCAGUGAAAUGCGUAGAUAUGCGGAGGAACACCGAUGGCGAAGGCAAUCCCCUGGGCCUGCACUGACGCUCAUGCACGAAAGCGUGGGGAGCAAACAGGAUUAGAAACCCUGGUAGUCC
rnacentral:rRNA from 1 species